rnacentral:rRNA from 1 species
UACGAGGGGGGCGAGCGUUGUUCGGAAUUAUUGGGCGUAAAGGGUGCGUAGGCGGUUCUGCAAGUCCUGUGUGAAAUCUUCGGGCUCAACUCGAAGUCUGCACGGGAAACUGCGGGGCUUGAGUGUGGGAGAGGUGAGUGGAAUUCCCGGUGUAGCGGUGAAAUGCGUAGAUAUCAGGAGGAACACCGGUGGCGAAGGCGGUGGUCUGGGCCGGUACUGACGCUGAGGAGCGAAAGCGUGGGGAGCGAACAGG